UACGGGGGGGGCAAGCGUUGUUCGGAAUUACUGGGCGUAAAGGGCUCGUAGGCGGCCAACUAAGUCGGACGUGAAAUCCCUCGGCUUAACCGGGGAACUGCGUCCGAUACUGGAUGGCUUGAAUCCGGGAGAGGGAUGUGGAAUUCCAGGUGUAGCGGUGAAAUGCGUAGAUAUCUGGAGGAACACCGGUGGCGAAGGCGGCAUCCUGGACCGGUAUUGACGCUGAGGCGCGAAAGCUAGGGGAGCAAACGGG
rnacentral:rRNA from 1 species